UACAGAGGGGGCAAGCGUUGUUCGGAAUUACUGGGCGUAAAGGGCGCGUAGGCGGCCUUCUAAGUCGAACGUGAAAUCCCUGGGCCUCAACCCAGGAACUGCGUCCGAUACUGGAAGGCUUGAAUCCGGGAGAGGGAUGGCGGAAUUCCAGGUGUAGCGGUGAAAUGCGUAGAUAUCUGGAGGAACACCGGUGGCGAAGGCGGCAUCCUGGACCGGUAUUGACGCUGAGGCGCGAAAGCCAGGGGAGCAAACGGGG
rnacentral:rRNA from 1 species